AGAGUUUGAUUCUGGCUCAGAACGAACGCUGGCAGCGUGGAUUAGGCAUGCAAGUCGAACGGGAUCCAGGGCUAUAGCAAUAUAAUCCUGGUGAGAGUGGCGUAAGGGUGAGUAACGCGUGGGUAAUCUACCUCUAUGUUGGGGAUAACUCGCCGAAAGGUGAGCUAACACCGAAUGUGGUCGGCUCUCAUAAGAGAGAUGGAUUAAAGACGGGGAUCCUUCGGGACCUGUCGCAUGGAGAGGAGCCCGCGUGCCAUCAGCUAGUUGGUGAGGUAACGGCUCACCAAGGCUUACGGCUAGCUGGUCUGAGAGGAUGACCAGCCACACUGGGACUGAGACACUGCCCAGACUCCUACGGGAGGCUGCAGUCGAGGAUCUUGGACAAUGGGGGCAACCCUGAUCCAGCGACGCUGCGUGGAGGAUGAAGGCCUUCGGGUUGUAAACUCCUGUCAUUCGGGAAAAACGACCUUGGGAUUAAUACUUCCAGGGAGUGAUGGUACCGGAAGAGGAAGCCACGGCUAACUCUGUGCCAGCAGCCGCGGUAAUACAGAGGUGGCAAGCGUUGUUCGGAUUUACUGGGCGUAAAGGGUGCGUAGGUGGUCUCCUAUGUCGAAUGUGAAAUCCCAAGGCUCAACCUUGGAAUUGCGUUCGAAACUGGGAGACUUGAGUGCAGGAAGGGAGAGCGGAAUUCUUGGUGUAGCGGUGAAAUGCGUUGAUAUCAAGAAGAACACCGGUGGCGAAGGCGGCUCUCUGGAAUGCUACUGACACUGAGGCACGAAAGCUGGGGGAGCAAACAGGAUUAGAUACCCUGGUAGUCCCAGCUGUAAACGGUGCACACUUGGUGUGGGAGGAAUUGACCCCUUCCGUGCCGGAGCUAACGCGUUAAGUGUGCCGCCUGGGGAGUACGGUCGCAAGACUAAAACUCAAAGAAAUUGACGGGGGCCCGCACAAGCGGAGGAGCAUGUGGCUCAAUUCGAUGCAACGCGAAGAACCUUACCAAGGCUUGACAUGCAGCUGCACGUCCCGUGAAAGCGGGAUUCCUUCGAGGGUGCUGCACAGGUGCUGCAUGGCUGUCGUCAGUUCGUGCCGUGAGGUGUUGGGUUAAGUCCCGCAACGAACGCAACCCCUGUGUUUAGUUGCUACCAGGUAAUGCUGGGCACUCUAAACAGACUGCCUGUACAAAACAGGAGGAAGGUGGGGACGACGUCAAGUCAGUAUGGCCCUUACGCCCUGGGCUGCACACGUGCUACAAUGGCCGGUACAGAGGGAAGCAAGACCGCGAGGUGGAGCAAAUCCUUUAAAACCGGCCCCAGUUCGGAUUGAAGGCUGAAACUCGCCUUCAUGAAGUUGGAUUCGCUAGUAAUGGCGCAUCAGCUACGGCGCCGUGAAUACGUUCCCGGGCCUUGUACACACCGCCCGUCACAUCAUGAAAGCCGUCUGCACCCGAAGCCGUCGAUUCAACCCGCAAGGGGGAUAGGUGUCUAAGGUGUGGGUGGUGAUUGGGAUGGAGUCGUAACAAGGUA
rnacentral:rRNA from 1 species